UUUAAUGUGUACAGUAUAUUUAUGGUUAAAAAGCAUACUUCGUAUUUUAAAGUGCAUUCCAUUUGAACGGGGAGGCGGGAAUUUCCCACUUUGCUAGCUACGUCACCCACUCAGGGUAACGUAUUUGGUGGAAGCUGAAGUGAGUGAGCGUGCUAUUGCUCUUUCGUAUUUUGGGUUGUCCAUGGGUUAUAGUUAGUGUCUAUACUGGAGGCUACGGAGCUAUUGUAAGUUUGUUUGUGUUUUUUCCCCCCGCAUCGUCAUAGAUAUAUACAUGUGGAUGUCCCCUCUGACGCUGUUGUCCGGAACAAUGUGUUGAAGCGGCCGCCAUCUUGGGCCGGGGGCUGUGCAGGCCAGUGUAAAGACAAAGAACGUGUAAGCUCAGAUGAAUUGCCUAGUGCACCAAAGAUCCUUCAUGUGUUUGGCCCAGAUCACAGAGGGAAUGAUUCUGAGGAUGAAGCUGUCUUACCAACAAGAAAACAAGUGCACCAUACUGGAGCUGGACCAGAGAGGCCAAGCGUCCCGUAGCCUGCACCAGGGAAGGAUUUCAUCGACUGACCUGCACCAGAGAAAGACUGUUUCCUCUGAGGCACAUCAGUUGAUAAGAAGACCACAAACCAGUCUUCAUAUAUCACACCUAGGCCUACCACAUCCAAGGGUUGAAAUCUGUAACUGAAGAAGAGGUGUUGGACCAAAUCUGCUACCAUUAGCUGAUCGCCAGUCUGUCCAAAACAUGGAGGAGCGGCUCAGAAAUAGUGCUGACCUCAAAAACCAUCUGAGAACUGCACUGGCUCUUAAAGGAGGGGGGGACGUUAAAGAGUGUAAAGAGUGUCAUGGGUGCAACCUUAACACUCUCUCGCCAAGAAUGUCAACAUGCGCGGUAUAAAUGGCAAGAUUGGCUUCCAGCACCUGCAAAUAAAGGAUGUUGUAAUUGAAGUCCACGGUGGGAAUGAUGGACUGCACAGACAGCACUGCUUCAUUUGGACUUCUGUGCCCUUUGUUAAUUUUUUACUAAGACUUUAACCUCCCUGAUUUUAUUUGUUUUCCUUUUGUUAUCCUUAAGCUCACAUUCUUUUAAUGUAUUUCAAUUAUUGAUCUUAUAAUUUUAUUGGGUUAAAAGCAUAAAAUUUUUUUCC